rnacentral:rRNA from 1 species
UUGAACGCUGGCGGUAUGCUUAACACAUGCAAGUCGAACGGAAACGAUACUAGCUUGCUAGUAGGCGUCGAGUGGCGGACGGGUGCGUAACGCGUAGGAAUCUGCCUGAUAGUGGGGGAUAGCCCGAAGAAAUUCGGAUUAAUACCGCAUAAUCUAUUCGUAGUAAAGUGGGGGACUUUCGAGCCUCACGCUAUCAGAUGAGCCUGCGUAAGAUUAGCUUGUUGGUAGGGUAAAAGCCUACCAAGGCGACGAUCUUUAGCUGGUCUGAGAGGAUGAUCAGCCACAUCGGGACUGAGACACGGCCCGAACUCCUACGGGAGGCAGCAGUGGGGAAUAUUGGACAAUGGGGGCAACCCUGAUCCAGCAAUACCGCGUGUGUGAAGAAGGCCUGAGGGUUGUAAAGCACUUUCAAUUGUGAAGAAAAGUUAGCGGUUAAUAACCGUUAGCCUUGACGUUAACUUUAGAAGAAGCACCGGCUAACUCCGUGCCAGCAGCCGCGGUAAUACGGAGGGUGCAAGCGUUAAUCGGAAUUACUGGGCGUAAAGCGUGCGUAGGCGGUUUAUUAAGUCAGAUGUGAAAGCCCCGGGCUUAACCUGGGAACUGCAUUUGAAACUGGUCAACUAGAGUAUGGUAGAGGAAAGUGGAAUUUCUGGUGUAGCGGUGAAAUGCGUAGAUAUCAGAAGGAACAUCAAUGGCGAAGGCAGCUUUCUGGACCAAUACUGACGCUGAGGUACGAAAGCGUGGGUAGCAAACAGGAUUAGAUACCCUGGUAGUCCACGCCGUAAACGAUGAUAACUAGCCGUUGGGGGGAUUUACCCUUUAGUGGCGAAGCUAACGCGUUAAGUUAUCCGCCUGGGGAGUACGGCCGCAAGGUUAAAACUCAAAGGAAUUGACGGGGACCCGCACAAGCGGUGGAGCAUGUGGUUUAAUUCGAUGCAACGCGAAGAACCUUACCUGGUCUUGACAUCCUGCGAACUUUCUAGAAAUAGAUUGGUGCCUUCGGGAACGCAGUGACAGGUGCUGCAUGGCUGUCGUCAGCUCGUGUCGUGAGAUGUUGGGUUAAGUCCCGUAACGAGCGCAACCCCUAUCCUUAUUUGCCAGCACAUCAUGGUGGGAACUAUAAGGAGACUGCCGGUGAUAAACCGGAGGAAGGCGGGGACGACGUCAAGUCAUCAUGGCCCUUACGACCAGGGCUACACACGUGCUACAAUGGGAAGGACAAAGAGCCGCGAAGCCGCGAGGUGUAGCUAAUCUCAUAAACCUUUUCGUAGUCCGGAUUGGAGUCUGCAACUCGACUCCAUGAAGUCGGAAUCGCUAGUAAUCGUAGAUCAGAAUGCUACGGUGAAUACGUUCCCGGGUCUUGUACACACCGCCCGUCAAGGG